rnacentral:rRNA from 1 species
UACGGGGGGGGCAAGCGUUGUUCGGAAUUACUGGGCGUAAAGGGCGCGUAGGCGGUUUGCUAAGUUGGAUGUGAAAACUCUGGGCUUAACCCAGAGCCUGCAUCCAAAACUAGCAGGCUAGAGUUCUGGAGGGGAUAGCGGAAUUCCUGGUGUAGCGGUGAAAUGCGUAGAUAUCGGGAGGAACACCAGUGGCGAAAGCGGCUACCUGGCCCAUUCUUGACGCUGAGGCGCGAAAGCUAGGGGAGCAAACGGG